rnacentral:tRNA from 1 species
GAUGUCAAGAUGGCUGCCACAUGCACCCAGGGACA